UAAGGAACAACUGCAGACAGUCAGACCGGUAGUGUUACAGCUAUGCCUGAAAGGACUCACCUGACAGAACGAGCAGGUACACAGCACACCUGCAGCCUGAUCUAGCGGCCAUGAUGAUGAUGAUGAUGAUGAUGAUGAAGAUUCUCACAGACACUAAAGGCCCUGCAGAGGCUCAACCUGCCUCAGGAACUGCUGAUCAUGUUCUACACAGCCAUCAUCCAGUCUGUUCUCUGCACAUCCAUCACCGUCUGGUUUGGAUCUGCCACCAAACUGGACAGGAACAGACUGAAACAGACAAUCAGGUGUGCAGAGAGGAUUAUUGGGACUGAUCUUCCCUCCAUCCAGGACCUGUACAGGUCAAGGGUCAGGAAACGCGCUACAGAGCAGUGUUCGCCGAAACCACCUGUCACAAAGAUGGUCUCUUCCCCCAGGCUGUCGCUCUGAUGAACUCCUAACAGUCACACAGUGGCAGGUCAACAACACUGCAUCCUUGUUAUUGUAUAUAUCUUCUGUAUAUUCUGUGUUCUUGCCUAAAUUUGUGUACUUAUAUCCUUUCUGGUACCUUGACAGCAAGUCUACCAGAGUCAGAUUCCUCGUACACACGUACUUGGUGAAUAAAGCUGAUUCUGAUAAUUA